AUUGAACGCUGGCGGCAGGCCUAACACAUGCAAGUCGAACGGUAACAGGAAGAAGCUUGCUUCUUUGCUGACGAGUGGCGGACGGGUGAGUAAUGUCUGGGAAACUGCCUGAUGGAGGGGGAUAACUACUGGAAACGGUAGCUAAUACCGCAUAACGUCGCAAGACCAAAGAGGGGGACCUUCGGGCCUCUUGCCAUCGGAUGUGCCCAGAUGGGAUUAGCUAGUAGGUGGGGUAACGGCUCACCUAGGCGACGAUCCCUAGCUGGUCUGAGAGGAUGACAGCCACACUGGAACUGAGACACGGUCCAGACUCCUACGGGAGGCAGCAGUGGGGAAUAUUGCACAAUGGGCGCAAGCCUGACGCAGCCAUGCCGCGUGUAUGAAGAAGGCCUUCGGGUUGUAAAGUACUUUCAGCGGGGAGGAAGGGAGUAAAGUUAAUACCUUUGCUCAUUGACGUUACCCGCAGAAGAAGCACCGGCUAACUCCGUG
rnacentral:rRNA from 1 species